AGUGAACGCUGGCGGCGUGCUUAACACAUGCAAGUCGAACGAGAAGGGGUUAUAGCUUGAUAUAAUUGUAAGAUAAGUGGCGCACGGGUGAGUAAUGUAUAGGUAAUAUGCCUCUUACUAAGGGAUAACAAAUGGAAACGUUUGCUAAUACCUAAUACUCCUUAUUAACAGAAGUUAAUAAGGGAAAGAUUUAUUGGUAAGAGAUUAGCCUGUAUUGUAUCAGUUAGUUGGUGGGGUAAUGGCUUACCAAGACUAUGACACAUAACUGGUUUGGGAGGAGGAUCAGUCACACUGGAACUGAGACACGGUCCAGACUCCUACGGGAGGAAGCAGUGGGGAAUAUUGCACAAUGGACGAAAGUCUGAUGCAGCAACGCCGCGUGGAGGAUGACACAUUUCGGUUCGUAAACUCCUUUUAUAUGAGAAGAUAAUGACGGUAUUAUAUGAAUAAGCACCGGCUAACUCCGUGCCAGCCGCCGCCGUAA
rnacentral:rRNA from 1 species